UUUGAAGCGCCAACAACGCGCUGAAGCAUGACAAGAUAUAUCUCCCAUAUCCACCGUGCCCCGCUCGCAAAUGCGAUUUAUUUGCCUACUAGAAAUUUUAGACACAGCAAAAGACAGUCUCCUUAGUACAACAAAAUCAACUGAGUAGCAGAUACAGAUACCGAUAUAUUUAUUUGUGUAUAUAUGUACAUACGAGUAUGUGUUUAUAUAGACCCCGAAAUUCGCAUAAGCAUUUUUCCAGGCCGAGCAAAUAUUUGCUUAAGCCGAAAAUAAAACCCAAGUCGAGUGCAGAAAUAAAACAAACUCGCUCAACUCGCUGCUUUGUUCUACACUGAGCGAAAUGUGGAUGUGCCAUUUCCUUUUUCCAUUUAGCAAUGAAAAAUAAAAUAAUGUGCACAAUAUCCAUCGAAAUUCCCGUGAGGCAAACGUAAAUUGUUAUUCGCACGAUCAUUCAAAGGUCAUCUGCUUAACUCAUUCAUUACCAUUUCCAUUCAAUCGAAUGUAGUCAUUGUGCAGAGUGAAUUCAUUCAUUCAUUCGGUAAAGCAUUCAUUGAUUGGUUUAUCAUUCAUUCAAUAAAUAAUCAAGUAAUUAGUAGUAGAAUGAAAAUAUAUAUAUCUUUUAAUUCCUUAUUAAUGUUAAUUAAAUGAUGAGUUGUUACUUGCACUCUACAACUGCAAAACAUUACAAAGAUAAUUCUCAAACAAAAUAAUCCCCAUCAUUGUGGAUUAUGAAAUGAAGUAAAUUUAGUUUCAUCGCCUAUUGCAAAGAAACAAUAAAUAAUUAUUUAAAUAUGACUUUCCUGUUUACUUGAAAAUGCCUAGUUAUACAUUUAGCAAAUAUUUUGAUUACGAAUCACGCACCAAUUUGAAUUAUCAAUUAGCAAAACCCUUCUUGGCUGCGAUUCGGAAAAUAAAAACGCUGCCUGCAUAGAAAUGGCUAUAUAAUAAUCCCCCAACCACAUAUAUCAUAAAUACAUAUGCAUAUUAUAAUGGAAUCAGCGAUGCCACUCCCAUGGGAAGAAAUUAAUUGAAAAGAGAAAAAUGCUCGUAAAUUAGCAUAAAAUGCGAUCAUAUAAAGUUUUCUGACGCGACCACGCCCCCAAGACAUGCAACCGCCCCCGUCGCCGAUUCCUUUGUGCCAUUGCCAGCUAGCUAGCUUUCCGCUCGAGUUUUCAGUUUUCAGAUUUCAGUUUUCAGUUUUCUGAAAGAGCUGGUGGCCAUAAUUCGCAAUCAGGCCUUUAACAACCCACGAGAUGCCGUGAGGUCCCAAUCUCCAUCGGUUGGUGGAAAUGGAGGUGGGGUUUUUGGAAUAGAUGGGGGGAUAAAUGUGAGUGCCACAAACGUGCAGGAAAUAUGCAGGAGAAGAAAAAGAAAGGCCAAAUUACAUGCUGUCAUUAUGCAUGCCAUGCAGCAAAGGGCGGGAAAAAAAAGCUGCAAAAAGCUGAAGAAAAUCCCCCAUAAUGAAGUGUAGCAAACGGCAGAAAAGAGCGGAAAAAUGUAUGCAAAAAGAAAAAUUAGAUAUAACUACAGCUAAGUGCAGGCACAAGGAGGCGGACCAACGGCCCGGAGGCGUGGCACUCUAUUGUUGAUUUAAAUAACAUUAUUGUUAACGCCGGGGAAACUUGACGGAGAAAUGCGACGUAAAAAAGAAUUUUCCAAAGAAAUACCAGCUAAUAGUAAUCAAAGUAGCACAAAAAUGUUUGAUAUUCCGCUUAAAGUUAUUAAUUAAAUGAAAACAUUUAAUAUAUAUAUUUCCACUUCAGCGAAAAAUCAAGCCCUAGGAAAAAAUCUCUCUAUAAGUGAGUUUAGUAAAAAGAUCAAACUUUUCGAAAACAAGUGAAAGGUGAGAGGCGGCACCUUUUUUAGCGAGCAGCUAAAUCAGCGUCUGAUUAACACAACGAAAGCAAAAUAAUAUGGCUUCAUGAAGGGCAUUUGCACAAAUAAUUAGCAGAUAAUUGAAUCCAGAUCGUCUGUUUAUUGUACUCUGUUGUUUUGCACCCAUCUACAGCUGAAAACAUAUGGCGAGGUUGAGAAGGGCAGUUGUGGGUCACUGCAGUUACAAAAGGUACAAAGAAAAACAACAGCUGCUGUUUCGUGGUAGGAAAAGCCUAUCAAAGCUGUCGGAAAACCCGAGUGAAAUGCAGUCGACGCCAUUUGAGGCUAUUAAUGUCAAUUGCAACGCUUUCUAAUGGCCAGCCCCAUUCGAUUUGGCUUUCCCAAUCACAUUAAGCACUCUAAUUAUAAUCAAUCGCUGCGAUAUGAUAUGAUAGUGAGAUAUGGGAUCGAGUGGGUGUCAUCUAGUCACCCAGCGUAUUUCCCAUAUGCCGAGGUCGCUGGCCCGCGGGAAAAUAUUUCACAAUGGACGUGGAAAAAGAAAAGCCAGCAAAAGUGACACAAGUUCCGUCGUAAACCCCACUCUAUUCCAGGUUGAUGGCCAAAGAAAGCCUGCCAUAAUUACUCAAAAAAAAAAAUAAAAAAUAAAAGAAAAGAAAAAACUGAAAGACUGACAAGAAAAAGAGCUUGAACCUUUAACACCCAUCAUGCGUGCCAUGAAGAUCGGGGGGAAAAACGAAACCUACCACUACAUUGCGGCUCAUCAACUUUUGCUUUUUGCUCUUUUCCCAGCUUUUACCUUUUUUCUACUGGCUUAAUUACUGCCCAGGUAAUUAUGCGACACUUUAGUCAAGAUCAAUGGCUUGAGAACCGCGGAAGUUAAUGCCAACACAUCAUUAUAAUGAUAUGCGAUUUUAUGGGCAAUUUAUUGAAACUAAGCCGUAAUAUUAAUGAAUAUGAUUAAUCUGAAUAAAAUAUUAUGAUCAAACCUUGAUUUGUGUUAACAAACCUUUUAAAUAUAUCUAUAUAGAAGUUUGAGUUGUACCAAUAAACCAUGUGUACUGCUAAUUUCAGUGCGAAAAGUGGCAUUUACAUCCGAUUCCCUUCUGUAUAUAUCGAGUAUAAAUCUUCCAUAACACUCGUGUAAAUACCUAGCUGAAUCACAAAUUAUAUUUCACAAACACGCGCUUGGCUCACAUUUCCGCUGAUAGGUAAACAAAUGAUUACUCCACCCGUUUUAGCUCCAAAUGCAAAAGUGUGUGAGUCAGGGGCCUUGGGACAGAUAAUACCAUUUUCUACUACGAGUACAUAUAACCCUUAUCCACAUUAUUCGCCCUGUUGACAUCUGGACAAAUUGAGAAACUCACAAGGAAAGACUUUGAGUAGCUGUACGCUUAAAAAUUGUUUACUUAAUGUACGUUUUACUGACGUUUCUUCGCUUUUUUGUUUGUCUGUUACGUAUUAAUAUUAAUUGCAGCUGAGCAGGGAAAAACUUUCAUCUUUUUCCUGCCCAUUUCUAAAGUGGAGCGUCGUCGACAUAAACUGAACUGUGUGUUGAAUACAGUGAGCACAGACAAAUGGUAAACAACAAAAGCCGCUUACAAACUUUAACUUUAACGUUGGCUCGUAAUUGCCAUUGCCGAAAAAAAAAAUAUAUUUAAAGAGUGUGGGGAAGGGAAAAAUCCACAACCGGUUCGCCUUUCUGACUACAAAAAAGUUGACUGAACCCUCGGCGAGGGAGAAGGGAGGAUUUUUGGGCGAAUGAGUAGUUGUGAUUGAGUAACACAGAUUUUAAUUGAUUUAAACGGCUGCGACUUGUGCUUAAUUGCACGUGAAAAGGCAGAGGAAGUACGGAAGUUGGGAAGAAAAGUAAAAGCUGGGCUUACACUUCAAGAAAAUAUAUUACACAUGCGUAUAUAAAUUUGAAUAGAACAGAAAGUGGCCUCUUUCGCAAAAAAGCCAUCACCCGUUUAAUAGUCAUGACCUAACCUAUCAGUCAGAGGCAAAUAAUGCAGCUACAUAUAUGUCAAUUGUGGUGAUAUAAUUCUCAUCUUAUCUGUAUUCUCAGUGUAAUAAAGAUUUGAAUGAGUGCUCUGUGCUUUUGAAACCCUUGAGUAAGCUUCACCGCAUUACUCAAGCAUUAUUUAAUAUCUCAGUUAUACGCAUUUUAUCUAACAAAAAAUGGUAAUGAUAACGCUGCGAAAGAGACAGACAGGCGAUGGUAGAAAGGGAGGGAGAGAUAGCGCUAGAGAGAGACGGAUACAACACGUGCUCGUAUUUCGUAUUCGUUUCAGGUCAAUUGAGUUCACUGUCACUUUCACUCACUGUCGUCUGUAACCAACAAGUUUGUAUUUAUUUACUUUUAUUUUUGUUUAAAGCCACUUUGGUGACACUUGGCAACCGAAAGCCAAAACAACAAAUACUAUUAACGAACAGUUAAUCAAGCAGAGCCGGCUUUUAACUGUGCAUUUUGAUUGUUUUGAUUCGCUUUGUUUGAUGGCCAACAACCAGCGAUUUAUUGGUAUUUAUGCUUUGUUUUUCUGUCGGCGCUUUUGUGGCUUUUAUAGCUGGUAUCGUUUUAUUUUUGGUGAAAAACGGACAAACAUAACAUUACAAUUCACGGGAAAUGGCACAGGUUUUGAAAAACUGCAAACUAAACCAUUUAGUAAACAUUUUAAAAUCGUAAAUAAGUUCGAUGUAAAAUAUUAUUAACAUUCCCUUUUCAUCAAUUUUAAAUAAUAAACCCCUUUUUAAGCCCAAGAAACCCCUAUGCCAUAUAUUAACAUUCAUAAAAUACUUUAAAUGCUAAUAUUAUCCAGUACCAAUGCACGGGAAGUAAACACUUCAAACGAAAAUCCAAUAAUUGGGUGAUCAUGAAACCAAGAUUGCCAUUUAUAACCAAGAUAAUCAAGAGCCCCAUCGAGAGAUCAACCAAAAUAGUUAUAUGACAUUUUAGAUUACCCCAAUCGAAUUUGUUUGGAAAAACCUUCUCGUUUCUAAAAAAAAAAACAACAAAGAACUCAGCGAACGGUGAAAAUAUUUUAUCAGUUCGAAACCACAACCGUAACCCGAAAGUUAUUUUAUCUGUGCAGAACGAUAAGAUUAACUCCAAGAAUCGAAAGCACACAAAUUAUGCAGACUUUACUAUAUAUGUACAUAUAUGUAACAUACAUACAUACAUACAUAUAUCUGUGUGUGGAAGCAUUCUAGUGGGUCAUUCUAGUGGACCAAUCGAUGCCAAAGUCAGUGAAGGCCAACCACAAGUUUAACUCAAGCGGCAACUCCAACUGGUGGAACCACCCAACCCCACCCCCUUCACUUGGCUCCCUCCCCGGCCACGCCCCCCGGCUUCCUCGGCUUUCAACCUGCUCCUAUAUACCAAGUUGGAGUCGCCGCAGUUUCAGUUCUCGUUCGCAUUCGGAUGCGGAUUCUUGUUCUUUGCAUUCCUGCCAAGUGAAAGUCGCUGGAAUCAAGGCUAUAUGCAGCUCCCAAGGCUUUAGUGGCAUGUUCUGGUACUUGUGGCACAUACCACAGAACUUCCUGCAACUCAUAAUUAAAUGAUCAUUGCAACUAGACAAGUUUGGGUUAUGGAAUAUUGAAAUACCUUUCAAAGCCGAUAACAAUCAUAUUCAAAAUCAUAUUCAAGGCAUUAAAAUGUUUAAAAUUUCAAUCCCUUAAGAUUUUAUUCAAACAAAAGACAGGUAUUCAGUCAGACAGAAAGCAACAAACUCUUUGAGAAGAAAAACCAAAAGAACCUCAAUUAGUGGUAGGCGUCCCAGGCAUUUCGAUGUUAAAUUUUACAUUAAGAACCUUCUGAUAGGAAUGAUGGACAGAAGGUUUCAUGCCGUAAGCAAAGUAAAGUCAUACGAUAAUCCCUUAGCAACCUAAUCCGGUACGUAAUAUUUUCGUGAAACCCUAUCGCAAAGUGAAUUCCAUUGCCAACAUCACACCCGUCCUAAUGUGGGAAUGUCUGCUUCUAAUUACCCGCCGUAAAAUCAACUGAAAUUGGAGACCCAAAUGGAUUUAUUAGGCGUCGUAACAAGGAUGUGGAUGUGGAAAUGCGAAGGUAGGCGAAAGAAAAACGUAAAAGGUCAAAGGAUCCGAUCCCAUACUUCAAAAGAAGCCACCUAAAAGUUACAAAAGUAAAAACGCUAAGACAGGGAACAUUGGCCAUAUGGUGGGAAGAUUCCCACUAAUGAUCGUUUCCCAAGUACAGGUGCCUUUAAAUAAAUGGAAUAGGGAGAGGUUGUGCGAGAUGAAAAUAAUUCCAUUUUAUAACAUAGAAAAUAUAUAUUAAUUUUAAGUCCUGAAUCUUUUUCACUAGCAAACUUUCAUUUUAUUCAGGUCAUAUCCCAUUUAACUACUAUAUCUUUUGGGCAUAUUUUUUUCGAGUGUAUGUGUGUGCAUGUCAAGACAUUUCCUGCAUUUCCUCGCUCGUCAUGGGAAUCUAAGCACAAGAAAACCUUUAUAAGAAGAAUCACCCCUAACAAGUGUUUGCGCCUUGCGCAUAUUUAAAUAAGACGCUUUUGUGUUAUCUGCCAUUUAAUCUCAACUGUUUUUUGUCGUGGUAGAUAUAUAUCUAUUUCUUUAUCGGCUGCCGCCAGCCAACUUUAGAUAAACCUCAAAUUCUUGCAGUUUCAACUAAAGCACAAUGGUCUUCAAACUAAUUGUGUUAAACAAUUGCGGUACCGACGACUGCGGCCAGCGACGGCGACGUCCGACGACGACGCAUUUCUGAAGCGAAG